rnacentral:lncRNA from 1 species
AUUUGCUUCUCGUCACGGAGAUAUCCUCACUUUUUUUCGAAUGAAAACAUCACCUCAUUAAAAUCUCCCAAAAUUAACCACAGCAACCUAUUGUUAUUUUUCAUUUGCCUUAAUACAUUCUACAAUUCCUUUCUAACAUGCUCCACAAGGGAACCAUAGAAACUUAUAAAUCUCCAAACCGCCCUAUUAUCUCCCUCAUCCACUUCCAUGUCAUUAAGCAACUUCAAAAAACUUCUUAAAGAAAUGGUCAAACCCUCCUUCCACACUAAAGACAAUCCCCUUUUUGUCCCUUUAGCAUUCACAU